rnacentral:rRNA from 1 species
UACAGAGGGGGCAAGCGUUGUUCGGAAUUACUGGGCGUAAAGGGCGCGUAGGCGGCCUCUUAAGUCGAACGUGAAAUCCCCGGGCUCAACCCGGGAACUGCGUCCGAUACUGGGGGGCUUGAAUCCGGGAGAGGGAUGUGGAAUUCCAGGUGUAGCGGUGAAAUGCGUAGAUAUCUGGAGGAACACCGGUGGCGAAGGCGGCUUCCUGGACCGACACUGACGCUGAGGCGCGAAAGCUAGGGGAGCAAACGGG